GAUGAACGCUAGCUACAGGCUUAACACAUGCAAGUCGAGGGGAAACACAUCGAAAGCUUGCUUUUGAUGGGCGUCGACCGGCGCACGGGUGAGUAACGCGUAUCCAACCUGCCCAUCACUUGGGGAUAACCUUGCGAAAGUAAGACUAAUACCCCAAUGAUAUCUCUAGAAGACAUCUGAAGGAGAUUAAAGAUUCAUCGGUGAUGGAUGGGGAUGCGUCUGAUUAGCUUGUUGGCGGGUAACGGCCCACCAAGGCAACGAUCAGUAGGGGUUCUGAGAGGAAGGUCCCCCACAUUGGAACUGAGACACGGUCCAAACUCCUACGGGAGGCAGCAGUGGGGAAUAUUAGGCAAUGGGGGAAACCCUGACCUAGCAACGCCGCGUGAAGGAAGAAGGCCUUCGGGUUGUAAACUUCUUUUAUGAGGGACGAAGGACGUGACGGUACCUCAUGAAUAAGCCACGGCUAACUACGUG
rnacentral:rRNA from 1 species